rnacentral:rRNA from 1 species
GACGAACGCUGGCGGCGUGCCUAAUACAUGCAAGUAGAACGCUGAAGGAGGAGCUUGCUUCUCUGGAUGAGUUGCGAACGGGUGAGUAACGCGUAGGUAACCUGCCUGGUAGCGGGGGAUAACUAUUGGAAACGAUAGCUAAUACCGCAUAAGAGUAGAUGUUGCAUGACAUUUGCUUAAAAGGUGCAAUUGCAUCACUACCAGAUGGACCUGCGUUGUAUUAGCUAGUUGGUGAGGUAACGGCUCACCAAGGCAACGAUACAUAGCCGACCUGAGAGGGUGAUCGGCCACACUGGGACUGAGACACGGCCCAGACUCCUACGGGAGGCAGCAGUAGGGAAUCUUCGGCAAUGGACGGAAGUCUGACCGAGCAACGCCGCGUGAGUGAAGAAGGUUUUCGGAUCGUAAAGCUCUGUUGUAAGAGAAGAACGAGUGUGAGAGUGGAAAGUUCACACUGUGACGGUAUCUUACCAG